rnacentral:rRNA from 1 species
UACGUAGGGGGCUAGUGUUGUCCGGAUUUAUUGGGCGUAAAGAGCGUGUAGGCGGCCAGGUAGGUCUGGUGUGAAAACUCGAGGCUUAACCUCGAGAUGUCAUCGGAAACCAUUUGGCUAGAGUCCGGAAGAGGAGAGUGGAAUUCCUGGUGUAGCGGUGAAAUGCGCAGAUAUCAGGAAGAACACCAAUGGCGAAAGCAGCUCUCUGGGACGGUACUGACGCUGAGACGCGAAAGCGUGGGGAGCAAACAGG